rnacentral:lncRNA from 1 species
GUUCUUUAGUUCAUAAAGAAAUAUUCAUUCCUUAUCUUAAACCCCUAAUAUAUGAUCUCAAAAGGGUGUUUGUAACAUUUGGUCCGAGUUAAGGAUUUUACUUGGAAAGGACUUUUCUAAAAUUCAUUCCCGUGGUUAAUGAGUUUCCUAAUUAUGUUCCUGGUGUUCCUCCUGAUAGGGAAAUUUAUUUUUCGAUUGAUCUUGUUCCAGAUACUUAUCUAAUUUCUAUCCC